rnacentral:lncRNA from 1 species
GGCGGAGGAGCACGGCAAUGGAGGAGCACGGCGACGGAGGUGAGGGUUGGGCGGAGCCACAGAGGUGAGGACUGGACGGAGCCACGGAGGUGGGGACGGAGUGAGGGCUGGGCGGAGGUGGAAGACAACCUGGAAGUGGCCGAUUAGAAUUAAGCGAGGGUAGCAAUGUAAUUUCCUUACUUUUCACCUGGUCGAAAAAACUCCCCAACAACCUAUAUUUAGGAACAGAGGGAGUAGACAAAUUGCCGUGUUUCGAGAAAGAAAAUCGUGAGCUGGUUGAGCUCUCACUUUGUCUUCUACAUUAGCACUCUCUUCCAAGUUCUGUGUAGCCAAGUGCUAGGCUUAGAGCAGACUCCUUAAAAAUGCAAAAUGUAAAACUGGAAUACGGGUU